GAGUUUGAUCAUGGCUCAGGCACGAACGCUGGCGGCGUGCCUAAUACAUGCAAGUCGAGCGCGGGAAGCGAGCGGAUCCCUUCGGGGUGAAGCUCGUGGAACGAGCGGCGGACGGGUGAGUAACACGUGGGCAACCUGCCUGUAAGAUCGGAAUAACCCCGGGAAACCGGGGCUAAUGCCGGGUAAUACUUUUCUUCGCAUGAAGAUGAGUUGAAAGAUGGCUUCUCGCUAUCACUUACAGAUGGGCCCGCGGCGCAUUAGCUAGUUGGUGAGGUAACGGCUCACCCAGGCAACGAUGCGUAGCCGACCUGAGAGGGUGAUCGGCCACACUGGGACUGAGACACGGCCCAGACUCCUACGGGAGGCAGCAGUAGGGAAUCUUCCGCAAUGGACGAAAGUCUGACGGAGCAACGCCGCGUGAACGAUGAAGGUCUUCGGAUCGUAAAGUUCUGUUGUCAGGGAAGAACAAGUACCGUGCGAAUAGAGCGGUACCUUGACGGUACCUGACGAGGAAGCCCCGGCUAACUACGUGCCCAGCAGCCGCGGUAAUACGUAGGGGGCAAGCGUUUGUCCCGGAAUUAUUGGGCGUAAAGCGCGCGCAGGCGGGUUCCUUUAAGUCUGAUGUGAAGCCCCACGGCUCAACCCGUGGAAGGGUCCAUUUGGAAACCU
rnacentral:rRNA from 1 species